rnacentral:rRNA from 1 species
GGUUCGAUUCUGGCUCAGAUUGAACGCUGGCGGGAUGCUUUACACAUGCAAGCUGGCAGCACGGACUUCGGUCUGGUGGUUAUGGCGGAACGGGUGAGUAAUGUAUCGGAACGUGCCUAGUAGCGGGGAUAACUGCGCGAAAGCGUAGCUAAUAUCGCGCAAUGGCCCUUCGGGGGAGUGGGGGACCUUCGGGCCUCGCACUUGUUUAGAGCGGCCGGGAUAUCGGAUUAGCUAGUUGGUGGGGUAACGGCUCACCAAGGCGACGAUCCGUAGCUGGUUUGAGAGGGACGACCAGCCACACUGGGACUGAGACACGGCCCAGACUCCUACGGGAGGCAGUGGGGAAUUUUGGACAAUGGGGAAAACCCUGAUCCAGCCAUCCCGCGUGUGCGAUGAAGGCCUUCGGGUUGUAAAGCACUUUUGGCAGGAGUUGAAACGGCACGAGACACCGUGCACCACGGUACCUGCAGAACGGCUAACCACAGCCAGCAGCUUGCAAUACGUAGGGUGCAAGCGUUAACGGAAUUACUUCGGGCGUAAGCGUGCGCAGGCGGUUCGGAAAGAAAGAUGAAAUCCCAGAGCUAUCCUUGGAACUUUGCAUUUUUAAUCUUACCGAGUGUGUCAGAGGGAGUGUGGAAUUCCGUAAGCAGUGAAAUGUAUAUGGAGGAACACCGAUGGCGGGCGUCUCCCUGGGAUACCGACGUUUCAUGCACGAAAGCGUGGGAGCAAACAGGAUUAGAUACCCUGGUAGUCCACGUGCCCUAAAAACGAUGUCAAUCAGCUGUUGGGGCCUUCGGGCCUUUGUGCGCAGCUAACGCGUGAAGUUGACCGCCUGGGGAGUACGGUCGCAAGAUUAAAACUCAAAGGAAUUGACGGGGACCUGCACAAGCGGUGGAUGAUGUGGAUUAAUUCGAUGCAACGCGAAAACCUUACCUACCCUUGACAUGUCUGGAAUCCCGAAGAGAUUUGGGAGUGCUCGCAAGAGAACCGGAACACAGGUGCCGCAUGGCUGUCGUCAGCUCGUGGCCGAGAUGUUGGGUUAAGUCCCGCAACGAGCGCAACCCUUGUCAUUAGUUGCCGAAAGGGCACUCUAAUGACGCUGCGUGCAAACCGGAGGAAGGUGGGGAUGACGUCAAGUCCUCAUGGCCCUUAUGGGUAGGGCUUCACACGUCAUACAAUGGUCGGGACAGAGGGUCGCCAACCCGCGAGGGGGAGCCAAUCCCAGGAAACCCGAUCAGUCCGGAUCGCAGUCUGCAAACUGACUGCGUGAAGUCGGAAUCGCUAGUAAUCGCGGAUCAGCAUGUCGCGGUGAAUACGUUCCCGGGUCUUGGGUACACACACCGCCCGUCACACCAUGGGAGUGGGUUUUACCAGAAGUAGUUAGCCUAACCGUAAGGAGGGCGAUUACCACGGUAGGAUUCAUGACUGGGGUGAAGUCGUAACAAGC